AUGGCUGGGCCAAGAGGGCGCGCAGGAGUUCUGCGCCUGCGCGCUAGCGUGUGGGCGGUGCUGGAAACUGGAGGUGCGGCUUGACCUCGCUGGGGGUUAGCUUGGCAGCUGGGUUCUCUGUCUACGCGGAAGUGGGAAAAGUAUUGCGAUCUUCUCUACCCCGUGGCAAGGUCAUCUAAAUGAGUUGUGGGAAAUUCAAUGAAUAAAACAUUAUAUAUAAAUAGGGGCAAGACUCGAGCUGGGUGCUUACUUCUGAUCGUCGCAGACUGUGGUGGUUUCUAUCAUAGUAUUACAAGUUCAACCACAGUCGGCUGAGUUCUCUUUUGUUCUCUGCAGCCCCCAGGCACCCAAAGUAUGCCAGUUCCUUGUCAGUGCCCCGAAUCAGGAAGAAAUGAAUCUGCUCCACUUCUUCUCACGGAAAUAAAAUUAUUCUGAGGAUUGGCUGUGAUUUAUAAUUUUCCCCUUUAUUAUAUCAGUGUGUGCAUUGGUGAAGUUUCCCUUUAACUUUGGGACAAGUUAUACCAAAAUAUACAGCUCUUGAGGUCAGAAGCCUAAAAUGGAUCUAAAGGGCUGUAUUCCUUCUGGAAGCUGUGAGAAUCUAUUAGUCUUCUCUAGCUUCUAGAGGCCGCGUGCAUUCUUUGGCUACUGAUCCCAUCUGCCAUGUUCAAAGCUAGCUGCAGAGGAUUUCCAAUCGCCCUCAGUUCUUCAGCUUCUGUGGUCAUAUCGCCUUCUGUCUGACUCUUAACUCUGCAUCCUUGUUAUAAGGACCCUUUUGAUUGUAUUGGGCCCACUUGGAUAAUCCAGGAUAAUCUUCCUACACCCAAAUCCUUAACUUAAUUACAUCUGCCCUAUAGACCCCUUUGCUUUAUAAGUUAACAUUUGCGGGUCUGAGGAUUAGGGAGUUGACAUCUUUGAGGUACCAUUAUUCAGUCUACCACACAUAUAUCUAGGAUUUUAUUUUGUUAAUGGUAACCAACGCAUUUUUGUUAAUGGUAAAACACAUCAUGAGUUCACAGUAAUAAUUGCAAUUCAAAUUUAGGACUCCAAGGUUAUUGCUUAAUCUCUUCAACUUUGAAACUAUAUUACUUUUCUCUUAUGGGUGAACUCCCAGGUAAAACACAUCAUGAGUUCACAGUAAUAAUUGCAAUUCAAAUUUAGGACUCCAAGGUUAUUGCUUAAUCUCUUCAACUUUGAAACUAUAUUACUUUUCUCUUAUGGGUGAACUCCCACUUUCCCAAAAUAGCAAUAUUACUUAUUUGCUUUGUAGUACAAUAUGUACACAAUCAUCUCAGCAUAACACCGCCCACACAUUUACUAAAAUAGCCUAAGACUUUCAUGCUAUUCUUUUUGUCCUUAGCAAUCUAGAAAGAGGAUUCAUGACACUAUGAACAAAAUCAAAUCCAACACAAAUACUGUUUCUGAAAAUAAUUUAGAAGAAAAUUGAAGUAAAACAAUACUUUAUUAAAGAAAAUGUUUCCCCUAAGCAUAUUUGCAUAUCUUUCAGAUUUUAAGCUAUUUUCCUGAAGUUUUUUACAAUUAACUCACUGGCAGCUUAUUUUUGUUCUGUGAUAUUUUAAUAUUAAGAGAAUUAAGAUUAUAGAAAUGUAGAGAAUUAGGGGUUUGAAAUAAAUAAAUUAUGGUAAGAGACAAUAUAGCAUUCAUGUUAUAAUUUUAUUUUUAUGAUGAGAUGUAUAUAUUUCAGCUAGAUUAAACACAUAAAAUCCUUAGUGUUAAUAAGAUACUAAAUCCAUCUCUUUUAUUAUUUGAGGGAAGUCUAAUAACCUUUAAAAUUUUUCUGUGAAUUUCUUUAUGGGCUUCCUUCUUAUGGUUAUUUGUGUUCAUGAGUUCUGGAAGCCAGGACUCUUCUUCUUAUAAUUGUUAUGGUUAUCCACUAUCUUCUGCUGAGACUUUCUUUGUAUGUGGAACUCAAUCUAUUUCUUUGAUUUCUCCCUCUACAUAAUCAAAACAGAACCAGACCAUUUACCAGUCAUGUAAGUCCUUUUUACCCCUCACCUCUCCACCCUAGCUCUAGUUAAACUCUGAAAGUGCCAGAAGUAUUUCUGUGUAGCUGCAAAUUUUAAUAAAGAAUUACAGUAAAGCAGGGGACGUACUCAUGACAUAGUUAGACACUUACCCACCCACCCCUUAAUAUCUACCAACAUAGUUAUUUUUUCUGACUUUAUUAAUCCCUUGAUCUUCUCCAAAGCUUAAUUCCCUUAUUUUUCCCUGCAGCGAAAGUUUAUUCUCCACUCUGCUAAGCUCAGGACUCGUAUCAACACAUCCAAAGUCUCAUAUAUGCCUGUGCUAAAGGAAAGACUUACGCAUCUAUACUUGUUUUAUUUCUGUUGGAAGUUAGGAGGACUAUCAAGAACUUUCAAAUUUUGGCCUUCCUUCUAUCUACUCCUUCUAUCUAUUUGUGUAAGUGGAACAGGUGGUUUAUAAAUUCAUUUUCACACAUAUAGGAAUUUUAGCUACCUACACUUGAAAAUGUGUUUGAAAAAGGUGUGUACUCGGGAUACAGUGGUUCUCUCUGGGUUUGUCUAAUUAUGGCUAUCCUUUAUGUACGUUUAAUUUGUUUUUAUGUUAUGAGUUCGCUUUUGUCUUCUUUAGUGAUUGUUUAUUGCUUUGUGAAAAGAUAAAUAUUGGAAACAAAGGUUAAAAAAUCAAGUCAUCUCUAAUUUUUCAGGACAUUGAUUUGUGGAACUUGUUUUCUGAAUCUUUCAUUUCUUUUUUCCUUUCUAUUUUAAAGCUAAAUGUUACUGUUUCCCAAUUUUUUUAAACUGAAUAUUGGUAGAAGAUGUAUUUUUAAUUAUCAAUCAAAUUUAACUUCUUUUCAUCCUGAACAUACUAUUUUGUAACCCAUUGCAAUUUAUGCAUCAAUUUUGUAUAUUUACAUUUAUUUGUUACUUGUAUCAUAUUAUUUAGAAUUUCAUGGGUCUUUAUUAUUGUGUAUUGAAAUUUUCUCCAAAUUUUUACCAUUGUGAAUAAAGCAUAGAAUAACUAGUUGCUUGAAUAUGAAUUUAUAAUAAAAUAAGGAAAAGAAGCUAGCUGAAAUAAAGUUCAAGGGAGAUGCCCAAUCUUGAACACACUAUUGCUUUUGACCGUUUGGGGUGGCAUGGUCACAUAAGAGAUGAAGCCAAAGAAAAAGAUGAAAGAUCAGGUAAGCCAUGCAGAGAACAAGGAUGCGUAGAAUUGAAUGGCUAUAACAGGAGAGAGUACAAAUCAGCUGAAAGGAAGACAAAGAGCACAGGAGGUACAAUAAAAAUUUGAAAUUGCAGCAGAA